CCAUCAGCUGUGUGUGACUUUUAAGCAGGAGGUAAAACAAAGCGGGGGAACCUGCUGCUUGUGUCACAUGACCUGUGCUGAGGUCACAGGCUUCUUUUUUCUUUGUUUCUUUUGAAACUUUAAUGUUUUCCUGUUUUGAGGUGAGACCCAGUCGGGGCUGAGGCUACAUUGUGGGUGGGUCUAAAGGGCCAACAAUGACACGCCAACCUUGACGCUCGGUGUUGAGCUUUCUGAAAAAGUAACAGGAUAUCAGGGGUCAGAGGUCACUCAGCAGAUCACUCUAAGCCGUCCAGAACCAGAGCCCUGGUGUGAAGGUCUGCUGCCGGCUCUGCGCUGGUUUGGCCCAGCUGUGGACCUUUCCUGCAGGCUGGAGAUCCAGAUGUUUGGCUGAGAUCCGGCUCUUCGGCUGUA